UACGUAGGGUGCAAGCGUUGUCCGGAAUUAUUGGGCGUAAAGAGCUCGUAGGCGGUUUGUCGCGUCUGCUGUGAAAACCCGAGGCUCAACCUCGGGCCUGCAGUGGGUACGGGCAGACUAGAGUGCGGUAGGGGAGAUUGGAAUUCCUGGUGUAGCGGUGGAAUGCGCAGAUAUCAGGAAGAACACCAAUGGCGAAGGCAGCUCUCUGGGACGGUACUGACGCUGAGACGCGAAAGCGUGGGGAGCGAACAGG
rnacentral:rRNA from 1 species